rnacentral:rRNA from 1 species
AGUCUGCAACUCGACUGCAUGAAGCUGGAAUCGCUAGUAAUCGCGAAUCAGCAUGUCGCGGUGAAUACGUUCCCGGGUCUUGUACACACCGCCCGUCACACCAUGGGAGUCGGAAAUGCCCGAAGCCAGUGACCCAACCUUUAAGGAGGGAGCUGUCGAAGGCAGGUCUGGUAACUGGGGUGAAGUCGUAACAAGGUAGC